GCCUCACACAAGACAGCACACUCAAGGAGAGAACCAACCUAACGCCAGACCACAUCUGUGACCUGCUGGACCUCUGCCUGACCACCACUUAUUUCCAGUACAAUGGGAACUUUUACAGACAGAAGCACGGCUGUGCGAUGGGAUCACCUGUGUCUCCUAUUGUGGCCAACCUCUACAUGGAAGAAGUGGAGAGAAGAGCCCUGAGUUCCUAUCCUGGAACCACCCCCACCCACUGGUUUAGAUAUGUGGAUGACACCUGGGUCAAAAUCAAGACUAACGAAGUGGAACGGUUCACAGAACACAUCAACGCAGUGGAUAAUAACAUCAAGUUUACUCGCGAGGACACCAAGGACAACAAUCUGGCCUUCUUGGACUGCACAGUACAUAUUGAGGAGGACAGGAGCCUCAAUGUGGAAGUGUACAGGAAACCCACACACACGGACCAGUACCUGUUGUUUGAUUCACACCACCCACUGGAACACAAACUGGGAGUCAUCAGGACCCUGCAGCACAGAGCACAAACUGUACCCACCAGCUCAGAGGGGAAGAAGAAGGAGCAACACCACAUCAGGAAGGCCCUGCAAACAUGUGGCUACCCGAAGUGGGCACUCAUCAAAGCCACAAAAACAAGACCCCCCAACAACAAGAAGAAGGACAACACCAGGCGGAGAAAGAACAUCUCCAUUCCAUAUGUGUCAGGAGUAUCAGAGAAACUCCGCAGGAUCUUCAACAACCAUGACAUCCCGGUCCAUUUCAAACCUAUGACAACAUUGAGACAGAGACUGGUUCACCCGAAGGAUAAGAUUCCCAGGGAGAAACACAGCAAUGUGAUAUAUGCAGUCCAGUGCAGUGAGGAAUGCUCUGAUCUGUACAUUGGAGAAACUAAACAACCACUCCACAGAAGAAUGGCUCAGCACAGGAGAGCCACCUCUUCAGGACAAGACUCAGCUGUUCACCUCCACCUCAAAGACAAAGGACACUCCUUUGAGGACAACAACGUUCACAUUUUAGACAGGGAGGAAAGGUGGUAUGAAAGAGGAGUUAAGGAAGCCAUCUAUGUUAAGCUGGAAAAACCUUCCCUUAACAGAGGUGGUGGCCUCAGACAUCAUCUUUCUACCACAUACAAUGCAGUGAUUGCAUCCAUUCCCAGGAAGUUUACACAUACUCACAGUAAGAACAAAGGGCUGUCAACCAGUCCCCCUCCGGCAGUUUCAUAGUCCUUAGCCAGUCGUUAGACUCACCUGGCCCAGUCAGCCAGAACAUCACAGGUAAGUAUGGAAACAUUUAGUGCUAUUGUUUGUAAGUUUUUUAAAGUUUUACCCAGACCCACCCACUGAGGUCUGUAACCACAUAUAAACUAUGUUUCCCCACCAAACAGUUAGAACUGAUGAAGCUGCUUGGAUGAGCAGCGAAACGUCUUCUAUAAAAAAACUCUACAAGUCCAGACGCCUUGCUUCAAUCUUCUCUACGUAUGAUGACCUGGAUGACUGAGAAUC
rnacentral:lncRNA from 1 species